rnacentral:snoRNA from 1 species
AUAUUUUAAGCGAGGGGAGAGAAAUGCCCUCCUAAGGCACAGCAGAUCUGCCCCAAAGUGGUGGCCUCUUUCUAGGAAUAUGACAGGU